rnacentral:tRNA from 1 species
UCCCUGCUGGCUCAGAUGUUAAGAAUCUGCUUGCAAGGCAGAAGACCUGGGUUUGAUCCCUGGGUUGGGAA